rnacentral:rRNA from 1 species
UACGUAGGUGGCGAGCGUUGUCCGGAUUUAUUGGGCGUAAAGGGCGUGUAGGCGGCUUCUUAAGUCCGAGGUGAAAACACGGGGCUCAACCCCGUGAGUGCCUCUGAUACUGGGAAACUUGAGUGCUCUAGAGGGUAGUGGAAUUGCCGGUGUAGCAGUGAAAUGCGUAGAGAUCGGCAGGAACACCAGUGGCGAAGGCGACUGCCUGGGGAGUAACUGACGCUGAGGCGCGAAAGCUAGGGGAGCGAAC